rnacentral:rRNA from 1 species
AGCGAACGUUAGCGGCGGGCUUAACACAUGCAAGUCGAGCGAGAAAGGGACUUCGGUCCUGAGUAAAGCGGCGGACGGGUGAGUAACACGUAGGUAAUCUUCCCUUGAGCGGGGGACAACGGUCCGAAAGGACCGCUAAUACCGCAUACGUUUCCAGGGACUCUGGUCUUUGGAAGGAAAGCUAGGCCGCAAGGUCCGGCACUCGAGGAGGAGCCUGCGUCGCAUCAGCUAGUUGGUGGGGCAAUGGCCUACCAAGGCGAAGACGCGUAGCUGGUCUGAGAGGAUGAUCAGCCACACUGGGACUGAGACACGGCCCAGACUCCUACGGGAGGCAGCAGUGGGGAAUAUUGGACAAUGGGCGCAAGCCUGAUCCAGCCACGCCGCGUGAGUGAUGAGGGCCUCGGUCGUAAGCUCUGUGGGGAGGGACGAACCGCGUCGCGCGCUCAUAGCGCGCA